GACAGAGGGUGCAAACGUUGUUCGGAAUUACUGGGCGUAAAGGGCGCGUAGGCGGGUCUGUAAGUCGAAUGUGAAAUCCCCGGGCUUAACCUGGGAAUGGCAUUCGAAACUGCAGAUCUUGGAUGCCUGAGAGGAUGGCGGAAUUCCCGGUGUAGAAGUGAAAUUCGUAGAUAUCGGGAAGAACACCUGAGGCGAAGGCGGCUGUCUGGCGGUGCAUCGACGCUGAGGCGCGAAAGCGUGGGGAGCAAACAGG
rnacentral:rRNA from 1 species